UCAUGGCUCAGAUUGAACGCUGGCGGCAGCCCUAACACAUGCAAGUCGAACGGUAACAGGAAGCAGCUUGCUGCUUCGCUGACGAGUGGCGGACGGGUGAGUAAUGUCUGGGAAACUGCCUGAUGGAGGGGGAUAACUACUGGAAACGGUAGCUAAUACCGCAUAACGUCGCAAGACCAAAGAGGGGGACCUUCGGGCCUCUUGCCAUCGGAUGUGCCCAGAUGGGAUUAGCUAGUAGGUGGGGUAACGGCUCACCUAGGCGACGAUCCCUAGCUGGUCUGAGAGGAUGACCAGCCACACUGGAACUGAGACACGGUCCAGACUCCUACGGGAGGCAGCAGUGGGGAAUAUUGCACAAUGGGCGCAAGCCUGAUGCAGCCAUGCCGCGUGUAUGAAGAAGGCCUUCGGGUUGUAAAGUACUUUCAGCGGGGAGGAAGGGAGUAAAGUUAAUACCUUUGCUCAUUGACGUUACCCGCAGAAGAAGCACCGGCUAACUCCGUGCCAGCAGCCGCGGUAAUACGGAGGGUGCAAGCGUUAAUCGGAAUUACUGGGCGUAAAGCGCACGCAGGCGGUUUGUUAAGUCAGAUGUGAAAUCCCCGGGCUCAACCUGGGAACUGCAUCUGAUACUGGCAAGCUUGAGUCUCGUAGAGGGGGGUAGAAUUCCAGGUGUAGCGGUGAAAUGCGUAGAGAUCUGGAGGAAUACCGGUGGCGAAGGCGGCCCCCUGGACGAAGACUGACGCUCAGGUGCGAAAGCGUGGGGAGCAAACAGGUUUAGAUACCCUGGUAGUCCACGCCGUAAACGAUGUCGACUUGGAGGUUGUGCCCUUGAGGCGUGGCUUCCGGAGCUAACGCGUUAAGUCGACCGCCUGGGGAGUACGGCCGCAAGGUUAAAACUCAAAUGAAUUGACGGGGGCCCGCACAAGCGGUGGAGCAUGUGGUUUAAUUCGAUGCAACGCGAAGAACCUUACCUGGUCUUGACAUCCACAGAACUUUCCAGAGAUGGAUUGGUGCCUUCGGGAACUGUGAGACAGGUGCUGCAUGGCUGUCGUCAGCUCGUGUUGUGAAAUGUUGGGUUAAGUCCCGCAACGAGCGCAACCCUUAUCCUUUGUUGCCAGCGGUCCGGCCGGGAACUCAAAGGAGACUGCCAGUGAUAAACUGGAGGAAGGUGGGGAUGACGUCAAGUCAUCAUGGCCCUUACGACCAGGGCUACACACGUGCUACAAUGGCGCAUACAAAGAGAAGCGACCUCGCGAGAGCAAGCGGACCUCAUAAAGUGCGUCGUAGUCCGGAUUGGAGUCUGCAACUCGACUCCAUGAAGUCGGAAUCGCUAGUAAUCGUGGAUCAGAAUGCCACGGUGAAUACGUUCCCGGGCCUUGUACACACCGCCCGUCACACCAUGGGAGUGGGUUGCAAAAGAAGUAGGUAGCUUAACCUUCGGGAGGGCGCUUACCACUUUGUGAUUCAUGACUGGGGUGAAGUCGUAACAAGGUAACCGU
rnacentral:rRNA from 1 species